GUAAUGGCUGUAAGCGGGCCCGUCUUGAAACACGGACCAAGGAGUCUAACAUCUAUGCGAGUGUUUGGGUGUCAAGCCCGAGCGCGUAAUGAAAGUGAACGGAGGUGGGAACCCGCAAGGGCGCACCAUCGACCGAUCCUGAAGUUUACGGAAGGAUUUGAGUAAGAGCAUGGCUGUUGGGACCCGAAAGAUGGUGAACUAUGCUUGAAUAGGGUGAAGCCAGAGGAAACUCUGGUGGAGGCUCGCAGCGGUUCUGACGUGCAAAUCGAUCGUCAAAUUUGGGCAUAGGGGCGAAAGACUAAUCGAACUAUCUAGUAGCUGGUUCCUGCCGAAGUUUCCCUCAGGAUAGCAGUAACGUAUUCAGUUUUAUGAGGUAAAGCGAAUGAUUAGAGGCAUGGGGGUUGAAACAACCUUCACCUAUUCUCAAACUUUAAAUAUGUAAGAAGCCCUUUGUUACUUAAUUGAACGCGGGCAUUUGAAUGAAACGUUAUUAGUGGGCCAUUUUUGGUAAGCAGAACUGGCGAUGCGGGAUGAACCGAACGAGGGGUUACGGUGCCGGAGUACACGCUCAUCAGACACCACAAAAGGUGUUGGUUCAUCUAGACAGCAGGACGGUGGCCAUGGAAGUCGGAAUCCGCUAAGGAGUGUGUAACAACUCACCUGCCGAAUGAACUAGCCCUGAAAAUGGAUGGCGCUCAAGCGUGUCACCUAUACCCCUCCGCCGGGGCAAAAUUUACGCCCCGGCGAGUAGGCAGGCGUGGAGGCUCGUGACGAAGCCUU
rnacentral:rRNA from 1 species